UUUUUAUCACUUGUCAUGUCAUGUGUCACUUUCGCACUAACAUACUUUAAUAAGUAGCAUGGUGACAAAUGAUAAAGAGCCGACCAUCUUAGCCCUACAAAUAAAUUUAAAAGUGGAAAAAUUACUGCCUUCGGUGAGACUUGAACUCACGGUCUCUGGAUCGAUACUCCAGCGCUCUGCCAACUGAGCCACCAAGACCUCAUCCAUAGUCAGCAAA